AGCUGCCUGGAAGCACAUUUCUUAAGAGAGUUAACAGAACAUCUCCGGAGAAGUGGGCAAGGCAGGCGUAGGCGGAACACAAACACACACAGACAUUCCCGAUUCCUGCCCCAGGAAGGAUGCCGAAUGCCGCCAGCAUAGGUGACACGUCUGCAGUGUCUCACCCUGUGAGGUCUUCCCAUUUCUCCUUCGUGAUGUCCAGUUAUAGGGAGCUGCCCCAGGAUGUCUCGAACCUUCCAUUUCACCAUCCAUAUGUAAACUGGCAUAUCUUCUCUUGCCUUUGCAUGCUGCAGCCUGAACUCCAUCCUUCAGCUUCCACACGUAUAUUAAAGCCAACCCCAGUUUCAUCCUCAAAA
rnacentral:lncRNA from 1 species